CUGCACCCUGCCUGUCAAUCUCUUUGACUGUGACCAGGGUCCACAAGGGCCUGGAACCGGAACUGUGAGGAGCCACCCUGGGUAGCCCAGCUUCCCCAAAGACACUGCCGCGGGUUUCAGGCAGAGGACAGUCUGGUUGCUCUGUGACCUCUACAGGCUUUGAGCCUUUGGAUCUCAAAACCUCAGCGCCCUAGACUGCAAGACACCCCAAGAGGCCAGUGCGUCCUAGGAAAUGUGAUGAGGCCCCCCCAGCACCCAGCUCUUCUGAAGGCCACUCAGUACAUGGAAACACGGUGAGACAGCAGGAGUGGAGGUGUUGGGUCUUCUACAACUCAGCGGCAGGGAGAUUUCCAGAACCCAGCACAUCCUCAAGAAGAGCAUCCGGAGAGCGUGCCCAGGGUACACCUGCCACAGAGGCAUGUUACUCACGUGACCCUGGGAGUUGGGUCAGAGGGUC